rnacentral:sRNA from 1 species
UGAUUCAAACUGGCCUUAAUGCAAUUCA